rnacentral:rRNA from 1 species
UACGGCGAGUGAGCGGCAAAAGCUCAAAUUUGAAAUCUGGCACCUUCGGUGUCCGAGUUGUAAUUUGAAGAAGGUAACUUUGGAGUUGGCUCUUGUCUAUGUUCCUUGGAACAGGACGUCACAGAGGGUGAGAAUCCCGUGCGAUGAGAUGCCCAAUUCUAUGUAAAGUGCUUUCGAAGAGUCGAGUUGUUUGGGAAUGCAGCUCUUAAGUGGGUGGUAAAUUCCAUCUAAAGCUAAAUAUUGGCGAGAGACCGAUAGCGAACAAGUACAGUGAUGGAAAGAUGAAAAGAACUUUGAAAAGAGAGUGAAAAAGUACGUGAAAUUGUUGAAAGGGAAGGGCUUGAGAUCAGACUUGGUAUUUUGCGAUCCUUUCCUUCUUGGUUGGGUUCCUCGCAGCUUACUGGGCCAGCAUCGGUUUGGAUGGUAGGAUAAUGACUAAGGAAUGUGGCUCUACUUCGGUGGAGUGUUAUAGCCUUGGUUGAUACUGCCUGUCUAGACCGAGGACUGCGUCUUUUGACUAGGAUGUUGGCAUAAUGAUCUUAAGCCACCCGUCUU